rnacentral:rRNA from 1 species
GUGACUGCGUACCUUUUGUAUAAUGGGUCAGCGACUUAUAUUCUGUAGCAAGGUUAACCGAAUAGGGGAGCCGGAGGGAAACCGAGUCUUAACCGGGCGUUAAGUUGCAGGGUAUAGACCCGAAACCCGGUGAUCUAGCCAUGGGCAGGUUGAAGGUUGGGUAACACUAACUGGAGGACCGAACCGACUAAUGUUGAAAAAUUAGCGGAUGACCUGUGGCUGGGGGUGAAAGGCCAAUCAAACCGGGAGAUAGCUGGUUCUCCCCGAAAGCUAUUUAGGUAGCGCCUCGUGAAUUCAUCUCCGGGGGUAGAGCACUGUUUCGGCUAGGGGGCCAUCCCGGCUUACCAACCCGAUGCAAACUGCGAAUACCGGAGAAUGUUAUCACGGGAGACACACGGCGGGUGCUAACGUCCGUCGUGAAGAGGGAAACAACCCAGACCGCCAGCUAAGGUCCCAAAGUCAUGGUUAAGUGGGAAACGAUGUGGGAAGGCCCAGACAGCCAGGAUGUUGGCUUAGAAGCAGCCAUCAUUUAAAGAAAGCGUAAUAGCUCACUGGUCGAGUCGGCCUGCGCGGAAGAUGUAACGGGGCUAAACCAUGCACCGAAGCUGCGGCAGCGACACUGUGUGUUGUUGGGUAGGGGAGCGUUCUGUAAGCCUGUGAAGGUGUGUCGUGAGGCAUGCUGGAGGUAUCAGAAGUGCGAAUGCUGACAUAAGUAACGAUAAAGCGGGUGAAAAGCCCGCUCGCCGGAAGACCAAGGGUUCCUGUCCAACGUUAAUCGGGGCAGGGUGAGUCGACCCCUAAGGCGAGGCCGAAAGGCGUAGUCGAUGGGAAACGGGUUAAUAUUCCCGUACUUGGUGUUACUGCGAAGGGGGGACGGAGAAGGCUAUGUUGGCCGGGCGACGGUUGUCCCGGUUUAAGCGUGUAGGUGUGUGUUCCAGGUAAAUCCGGUUCACUUUAACACUGAGGCGUGACGACGAGGCACUACGGUGCUGAAGCAACAAAUGCCCUGCUUCCAGGAAAAGCCUCUAAGCAUCAGGUAACAUCAAAUCGUACCCCAAACCGACACAGGUGGUCAGGUAGAGAAUACCAAGGCGCUUGAGAGAACUCGGGUGAAGGAACUAGGCAAAAUGGUGCCGUAACUUCGGGAGAAGGCACGCUGACACGUAGGUGAAGUGAUUUACUCAUGGAGCUGAAGUCAGUCGAAGAUACCAGCUGGCUGCAACUGUUUAUUAAAAACACAGCACUGUGCAAACACGAAAGUGGACGUAUACGGUGUGACGCCUGCCCGGUGCCGGAAGGUUAAUUGAUGGGGUCAGCGCAAGCGAAGCUCCUGAUCGAAGCCCCGGUAAACGGCGGCCGUAACUAUAACGGUCCUAAGGUAGCGAAAUUCCUUGUCGGGUAAGUUCCGACCUGCACGAAUGGCGUAAUGAUGGCCAGGCUGUCUCCACCCGAGACUCAGUGAAAUUGAACUCGCUGUGAAGAUGCAGUGUACCCGCGGCAAGACGGAAAGACCCCGUGAACCUUUACUAUAGCUUGACACUGAACAUUGAGCCUUGAUGUGUAGGAUAGGUGGGAGGCUUUGAAGUGUGGACGCCAGUCUGCAUGGAGCCGACCUUGAAAUACCACCCUUUAAUGUUUGAUGUUCUAACGUGGACCCGUUACCCGGGUUGCGGACAGUGUCUGGUGGGUAGUUUGACUGGGGCGGUCUCCUCCUAAAGAGUAACGGAGGAGCACGAAGGUUGGCUAAUCCUGGUCGGACAUCAGGAGGUUAGUGCAAUGGCAUAAGCCAGCUUGACUGCGAGCGUGACGGCGCGAGCAGGUGCGAAAGCAGGUCAUAGUGAUCCGGUGGUUCUGAAUGGAAGGGCCAUCGCUCAACGGAUAAAAGGUACUCCGGGGAUAACAGGCUGAUACCGCCCAAGAGUUCAUAUCGACGGCGGUGUUUGGCACCUCGAUGUCGGCUCAUCACAUCCUGGGGCUGAAGUAGGUCCCAAGGGUAUGGCUGUUCGCCAUUUAAAGUGGUACGCGAGCUGGGUUUAGAACGUCGUGAGACAGUUCGGUCCCUAUCUGCCGUGGGCGCUGGAGAACUGAGGGGGGCUGCUCCUAGUACGAGAGGACCGGAGUGGACGCAUCACUGGUGUUCGGGUUGUCAUGCCAAUGGCACUGCCCGGUAGCUAAAUGCGGAAGAGAUAAGUGCUGAAAGCAUCUAAGCACGAAACUUGCCCCGAGAUGAGUUCUCCCUGAGACUUAGGUCUCCUGAAGGAACGUUGAAGACGACGACGUUGAUAGGCCGGGUGUGUAAGCGCAGCGAUGCGUUGAGCUAACCGGUACUAAUGAACCGUGAGGCUUAACCUU